rnacentral:rRNA from 1 species
UCCUACGGGAGGCAGCAGUAGGGAAUCUUCCGCAAUGGACGAAAGUCUGACGGAGCAACGCCGCGUGAGUGAUGAAGGGUUUCGGCUCGUAAAGCUCUGUUGUUAGGGAAGAACAAGUGCCGUUCAAAUAGGGCGGCACCUUGACGGUACCUAACCAGAAAGCCACGGCUAACUACGUGCCAGCAGCCGCGGUAAUACGUAGGUGGCAAGCGUUGUCCGGAAUUAUUGGGCGUAAAGCGCGCGCAGGCGGUCUUUUAAGUCUGAUGUGAAAUCUCGGGGCUCAACCCCGAGCGGUCAUUGGAAACUGGGAGACUUGAGUACAGAAGAGGAGAGUGGAAUUCCACGUGUAGCGGUGAAAUGCGUAGAUAUGUGGAGGAACACCAGUGGCGAAGGCGACUCUCUGGUCUGUAACUGACGCUGAGGCGCGAAAGCGUGGGGAGCAAACAGGAUUAGAUACCCUGGUAGUCCACGCCGUAAACGAUGAGUGCUAGGUGUUAGGGGUUUCGAUGCCCUUAGUGCCGAAGUUAACACAUUAAGCACUCCGC